rfam:Roseburia sp. CAG:45 genomic scaffold, scf88
UGAAGCAGACUGUUAGGGGCACUUGGAAUUUCGUCGGCAAACCGGCAGCACUGGCACAGGGAUGUGCCAGUGAGGCGCAUCUUAAGCAUGGAUGCGAAUAUGCGCCGGUUGCCGGACGAAUUCGUAACUUUAUCGAAAUUCUUAGUGCCCCUUGCAGGCUUGCUGU